GUGACUUUAUAUACUAUUCGUGUAGUAAUUUAUUACUUACACUGUCAUUCGAUGAACAUUAGAUAGCUGGCUCGUUUAUUUAUAAACUUUCUCAGCUGAUUUGUUUGUUAGACUAAACAUCUAUUCAAUCAAUCAACCAAACAUAGAAACAACUCUAUGCCCUGGAUAUCUUGGUUCUCGCACCGAUGAAGAACGCAGCGAAAUGCGAUAUGUCAUGCGAAUUGCAGAAUUCAGUGAAUCAUCGAAUCUUUGAACGCAAAUUGCAGUCAUGGGAUAGCCCUAUGACUACGCUUCCGGGAGUAUCGGUUUUCUAUCUAGAGCAUCUUUUUCGGAAGAGUUGGUUCUAAUAAUGAGAGUCUGACGAGUUAUAGUGAGUCUCUUGAAAGAUAGGGAAUUCUUACGUGUAUUUUUAAUCACUUGUGAUUUUUAAAUACAAUUUAAUUCUGUGAAACUCAAACAACUUUACUGUUGUGCCCCUUAUCUAUGAUUCAUUUUGAUCAUUGUAUAAAAUUGAUGUGAAUUUAUUUAUUCACACUCUUGGUCUUCAUGUCUGGUUAAAUAGUUUGUCUAAGAUAAGUAUUUCUACUUUUUGUAACACAAUAUUGUUUAAUACGGUGAGUUCCUGCAUAUGAGUGUUGUUUAUUUGAUUUGCUACAAAACAAUUUUUAUAUAAUUACAGAGUGAAUGUAAUUUAAGUAUGUGGAUUAAAGAGUUUUCUGUAAUUAGUUAAGAUAGACCAUCGAUUAUCUUUUUAUGAUCGACCGAUCUCCUCACUUUUACUAGUGAUCAGAUGGAUUAAAACGUAUGUAACAGUCCGUUUUAAACACAAAUGAUCU
rnacentral:rRNA from 1 species